AACCAUACACUGCAAAAACACUUUUGUUAUUGUGACACAGUUUGCUACCAGCACAAAAUGUUAUCUUGACAAAACGUUUGUCAAUUUCCUGCAAUUAUUGUUAUAACGACAAAUCAUAGUUUAUUUAACUAUUAAUAUAGUUUAUCUAACUAUUAAUAUUUGUUAUUAUAAUGGUAGAUUGUUAUUUGAACACAUGUGUUGUCAUUUUGUCGAAGCAUUGUUGAUCUCACAUUUAGUGGAAGUUACCGUUCAUUGUCAAAUUAACAUUAAUGUGUGACAAUAACAAAUUAUAAAGUUACAGCUAGAACUCUACUAAAAGAUACGUGCAAGUUUGCAUCACUGAUUUCAACCUACUCAACCUAUACUCGAUUACCCUAGCUCGUAAUAAAUUGUCUACACAGAAACAUCUCAGUUGCCCUGAUGCUUAUAUCUUUGCAUGCUCAUGUUCAAUUGUGUAUGUAGCAAUUGGAGACUUGUGACUGGGCAUGGUAAGUUACAGUGGCAGUGAAGAAGUUAGGAGCCUCCAGAGUCCUUCAGUGCAGUGCAGUGCAGGCAGCCUUCUCUCUAUAGCCUCCUUCACUAGGCCUGGCCUGAAGAGCGGCCUGGGAUCGAGCUUCUCUCUAGCCUCUAACUCUAGCUAGUCUCGAGGCCAGGAGAGUUUGGCCUCGAGACUAUAAUUAUAAGCUGUAACUAUAGGUGUGGCAUGAGGGGGCGUUCAGGAAUAACAGGGCAAGGCCUCAAACAUACUUAGCACAUGGUGCUUGCAGCUGCACCGGACUGCAGCUGCUCAUGCAGCUUUAAUUUAUACUAUCAUAUCACUGACUGCAUGCCUGUACCCCUGGCCCUGGGCUACCAUGUUCCAUGUACACCAGCUAGGAUCUAGGAGUCAAGAGUCACCUGCAUCUGCAGCUUGAAAGAAAAGACAAUUGCAAAUUUUCUUAAGAGUAGAUAUAGUACCACCAUCUCAAAGAAAAAAGUUAAGUUCCAUUGCAUGCUGUUGGCGCAUGGCAUGUACAUGAUCCCAAAACUCUCUGAAUUCACAGUUUACAAAUCACUGCUAUACCGUAUCGGCGUAUAACUCCACCAUGUACCAGCUUCAAAGAAAAAGGAUUUAAGCUGCAGAUUUUACCGUACCUCGGCCCCACAAUGUGUACCAGCUAGGAGUCUACUUAACCACCUUCAUCGACUUCAAAGAAACGACUUGCAAGUUAUGCCAGAUUCCAUAAAACUAUAUAGCUAGCUAGAGGGCAACUGUCCCUGGUUUCGACCUUCAUCUGUAGCAUACUGAUUUACGAGUUUGUGUCUUCAUGCACUGGUUUCGACUGGUCAACUUCGUCCAUGGGGUGAUAGCUAGCAUUGUAAUUUACCAGUUUGUGUGUAUGUGUCCUCACGUGUCAGUUACACUGGUUUCGACUGGUCAACUUCGUCCAUGGGGUGAUAGCUAGCAUACUGAUUUACGAGUUUGUGUGUAUGUGUCCUCAUGCGUCAGUUACACUGGUUUUGACUGGUCAACUUCGUCCAUGGGGUGAUAGCUAGCAUUGUAAUUUACCAGUUUGUGUGUAUGUGUCCUCACGUGUCAGUUACACUGGUUUCGACUGGUCAACUUCGUCCAUGGGGUGAUAGCUAGCAUACUGAUUUACGAGUUUGUGUGUAUGUGUCCUCAAGCGUCAGUUACACUGGUUUUGACUGGUCAACUUCGUCCAUGGGGUGAUAGCUAGCAUUGUAAUUUACCAGUUUGUGUGUAUGUGUCCUCACGUGUCAGUUACACUGGUUUUGACUGGUCAACUUUGCCCAUGGGGUGAUAGCUAGCAUACUGAUUUACGAGUUUGUGUGUAUGUGUCCUCACGUAUCAGUUAUACUGGUUUCGACUGGUCAACUUCGUCCAUGGGGUGAUAGCUAGCAUACUGAUUUACGAGUUUGUGUGUAUGUGUCCUCAAGUGUCAGUUACACUGGUUUCGACUGGUCAACUUCGUCCAUGGGGUGAUAGCUAGCAUACCGAUUUACGAUUUUGUGUGUAUGUGUCCUCACGUGUCAGUUACACUGGUUUCGACUGGUCAACUUCGUCCAUGGGGUGAUAGCUAUAGCAUACUGAUUUACGAGUUUGUGUGUAUAUGUGUCCUCACGUGUCAGUUACACUGGUCAACUUCGUCCAUGGGGGUGAUAGCUUAUACUAUUUACAUUUUUCACUACAUAUGUGUUGGUAACUAUAGUGACUUCAAUCUUUUGUUCUGUAGGGGCUUAUUGUGACGAAAAUGAUCUGAGGGAUGUAGCGUUCAUGAAACCAAACGAAACGCCUGCAGUUCACUGUACUGGAAUUUCAAGAAACGCUAAGUGAUGAACACUAAAAACAAUUUACUGACAGAAGAAAUGUAUUGUGAUGCAUGUCAUGUGAUCCAGUGAUCUUAUUCUAUCAUAAACUCAUUGUUACCGUUUGACCUUCUGCAUGUGCAUACGUGCGCGAGAAAACAAUUAAUUAAAUGACAAAGGUAUAGUGUUAAUUUAACAAAGAAAUUCACUUUAUAGCAGUGUUAAUUCAGCAUUCACUUUGCUAUUUUGACAUAGAAGUACAAUAAAUUGGUGAAAUUCAGAUGACAUAAUACUUUGUUGUUUUGACAUAAUUUCUUUGCUUGAAUGACAAAACAUUGUAGGUUGUUUUACCUUUGUCAUUCUAACAAAUAUUAUUCUGUCAUGUGAGAUUCAUCACCGGGACAAACUUUUGUUUGUUAAAUUAACAAAAGUGUUUUUGCAGU